CAGCAGCCGCGGUAAUACGGAGGGUGCAAGCGUUAUCCGGAUUCACUGGGUUUAAAGGGUGCGUAGGCGGGCAUGUAAGUCAGUGGUGAAAUCUCGGAGCUUAACUCCGAAACUGCCAUUGAUACUAUAUUUCUUGAAUAUUGUGGAGGUUUGCGGAAUAUGUCAUGUAGCGGUGAAAUGCUUAGAUAUGACAUAGAACACCUAUUGCGAAGGCAGCAGGCUACACAUAUAUUGACGCUGAGGCACGAAAGCGUGGGGAUCAAACAGGAUUAGAUACCCUGGUAGUCCACGCCCUAAACGAUGGAUACUCGACAUACGCGAUACACUGUGUGUGUCUGAGCGAAAGCAUUAAGUAUCCCACCUGGGAAGUACGACCGCAGGGUUGAAACUUAAAGGAAUUGGCGG
rnacentral:rRNA from 1 species